rnacentral:rRNA from 1 species
UGAGAUUUGAGAGGGGCUGCUCCUAGUACGAGAGGACCGGAGUGGACGAACCUCUGGUGUUCCGGUUGUCACGCCAGUGGCAUUGCCGGGUAGCUAUGUUCGGAAAAGAUAACCGCUGAAAGCAUCUAAGCGGGAAACUUGCCUCAAGAUGAGAUCUCACUGGGAACUUGAUUCCCCUGAAGGGCCGUCGAAGACUACGACGUUGAUAGGCUGGGUGUGUAAGCGUUGUGAGGCGUUGAGCUAACCAGUACUAAUUGCCCGUGAGGCUUGACCAUAUAACACCCAAACA